UACGUAGGGUGCAAGCGUUGUCCGGAAUUAUUGGGCGUAAAGAGCUCGUAGGCGGUUUGUCGCGUCUGCUGUGAAAACCUGUAGCUUAACUGUGGGCUUGCGGUCGAUACGGGCAUCACUGGAGUUCGGCAGGGGAGACUGGAAUUCCUGGUGUAGCGGUGAAAUGCGCAGAUAUCAGGAGGAACACCGGUGGCGAAGGCAGGUCUCUGGGCUGACACUGACGCUCAUGCACGAAAGCGUGGGGAGCAAACAGG
rnacentral:rRNA from 1 species